CCUACGGGAGGCAGCAGUAGGGAAUAUUGCUCAAUGGGGGAAACCCUGAAGCAGCAAAGCCGCGGGGAGGAUGAAGGUUUUCGGAGGGGAAACUCCUUUUGGUAGAGAAGAAAAUGACGGUAUCUAACGAAUAAUCACCGGCUAACUCCGUUCCAGCCGCCGAGGUAAUACGGAGGGUGCAAGCGUUACUCGGAAUCACUGGGCGUAAAGGGCGCGUAGGCGGGAUAGCAAGUCAGAUGUGAAAUCCUCUGGCUUAACCCUAUAACUGCAUUUGAAACUGUUAUUCUAGAGUAUGGGAGAGGUAGGUGGAAUUCUUGGUGUAGGGGUGAAAUCCGUAGAGAUCAAGAGGAAUACUCAUUGCGAAGGCGACCUGCUAGAACAUAACUGACGCUGAUGCGCGAAAGCGUGGGGAGCAAACAGGAUUAGAUACCCUUGUAGUC
rnacentral:rRNA from 1 species